rnacentral:rRNA from 1 species
UACGGAGGGUGCGAGCGUUGUCCGGAAUCACUGGGCGUAAAGGGCGCGUAGGUGGCCUGUGGAAGUCUGCGGUGAAAGCCCGGCGCUCAACGCCGGGUCGGCCGUGGAUACUCUCGGGCUCGAGCUUACUAGAGGCAGAUGGAAUUCCGGGUGUAGCGGUGGAAUGCGUAGAGAUCCGGAAGAACACCGGUGGCGAAGGCGGUCUGCUGGGGUAAUGCUGACACUGAUGCGCGACAGCGUGGGGAGCAAGCAGG